rnacentral:misc_RNA from 1 species
GAUGAAGAACGCAGUGAAAUGCGAUAAGUAAUGUGAAUUGCAGAAUUCAGUGAAUCAUCGAAUCUUUGAACGCACCUUGCGCCCUUUGGCUAUUCCGAAGGGCAUGCCUGUUUGAGUAUCAUGAACAUCUCAACUCCUCACGGUUCGCCCGUGACGAGCUUGGACUUUGGGGGUCUUGCCGGCCUGCGGGUCGGCUCCUCUCAAAUGAAUCAGCUUGCCGGUGUUUGGUGGCGUCACAGGUGUGAUAAAUAUCUACGCUUGUGGUUUUCCGCCAGGUAACCUCCAGCGAUGGGGGUUCACUGGAGCUCACGAAUGUCUCUCCUCGGUGAGGACAGCUCUUUGAACGUUUGAUCUCAAAUCAGGUAGGGCUACCCGCUGAACUUAAGCAUAUCAAUAAGCGGAGGA